GCAUCCAAUUGAACAAAGGGUAAUAAGCAUACUUAAGGAGGAGUUUGGGAGUCUUCUUUUCUUAAUACACUAGCAGCAAAUUAAGAGAAUAAGAAGCUGUGGGAGUCUUCUUGUCGCAGGAGAUAUGGCACUUGUGCUCUUUGGGGGCUCGGCUCUGCCACAUUCACACAAGUGCCAUUCACCGCGACAAGAAGGCCGCAAUUUCUUUAAACUCCAGCCCAGCCACUUGCUUCCUGCUUCGUCGAUCGCUUCUAAUUGUCUACAUGGUUCCUUCCAGUUCCAGUUCCAGUUCCAGUUCCAGGUGAAUGAAUAUUUAUAGGCAAUGUCCAGUGUCUUUACCAGUUAAAUACAUGCUUCUUCUGCAUUUCAGAUUUCAUGCGCGCGAUCAUAUUCAUAUUCAUAUGUAGUCUUUUAGAUGGAUGGGAUCGAUGCAUGCAUUCUUCGAGGUAAGCACGUGAAGAGACUUUAAUUAUGUCAAUCCAAUUCUGAGUUUUUAUCCUUUUUUUCUUGAAAUGCAUGAUUACAUUUACAUCGUACAAUUUACAUGUCACGUUUCGGAUUUACGAGUACGAAAGAAAGGUAUUUUUUUGCGAGUUCAAGAAUUUGUUUGGCUUUUCCUUUAGAGCCAGUAAUCAUCAUAAUUUUAACUGGCUGUGUAAGAACUAGAAGGAUUUAUCCACCGCUCUUCUGAGUCUUCCCGCUCCAACUCCAUCGCUCCCGCUAGAACUUGCAGCAACGCCCGGAACUGCGACGUAUUGCUCAUCAAGACAAGCAUGAAAGAAAGGUAUGUGCCAUUUAUUUUAUCUCAAUUUCUGUUGAUAAAAGUAACAUGGAUGGAUGGAUGGUAACGAGGUUAAUGAUCCUCAUGCUACCAUGCACGAACCCAUAGCCCCUAUGCUUCCAAAAUCUGAUUUAGUCAUCGGAUCUGCCAGCCAUAGCUUGAAUUCAUGUAUUGAAUCAAUCAUAAUUCUGCAGCCCCAAAAAUUCUUCGUCCUUUUACUCCCAUUACCAUGCAUCUAUGCGCUAUUAUUUGUCUAUGUCAAAAUCAAAAUUUCCGGUCAAGCGCGGUUGUCCGACAAUCAGUGCGCACGUAUUGGCCGUUCUUGCCUUGCCUGGAAGUUCGCUUGGUGGCUCAAGGAGUCCCGUCCUGAUGCCCACCACUUCCAUUUCACCGCUCUUUCUCUUUCCUCUUUGCAGAUGAUUUCAAGAAAAUUACAUAGAAAGAACUAAAUAAAAAUCUAACUUAAUUUCUUUGCAGAUGAUUUUAAAAAUUACAUAGGAAAAAUUAAAUAAAAAUCUAACUUAUGACUAAUACGGCAAUAACACAAGAAUCCCAAAAGAAUUAAUUGAAAAAAAAAAAAAAGAGUUCAUAUCCAUUUCUAACCUUGCUGACAUUCACGUUAAAUCUCCAAAAUGCAGAAAACUGAAAAAGUACUAAAACAUCUUGACAAACGAUUCGAAGCCACUGGAGACCCAGUUUAACAGUAUCGGAUCUAGGCUCCGCCUCAGACGUUUUCUCAAGCCGUUCCUCAUUAUACAGACUAAUCAGCCUUCAGUUUCUUGACUUCUUCAUGUUUUCUCCCUUCUGUGCAACCUAUAAUUUCCCCAAGUCCUUGGAAGUUCCAAGCUUGCUCCGCUAUUGAGCAUCAUAACAUACAAGAUUGGCCUUUGAGUGUGAGUUUUCCAACGGAUGAUGAUAUAUUUCUCGACCCUUUUUGAGUCUUUAACGAGGCUGGAGUUGAGCAAGAAUACCCGCAAGAGUUAAGUCUGAUGGGUCCAGUGCACUACUUUUCAAAAUUAUGACCGGCUCUAAAGGACAAUAUCUGCUGUUUAGGCAAAAUGAGCUUUGGAAAUCAAAUGAUAACAGCUGUACAGCAUCAGAGCUUCAUCUGCUAUAGUAUUACGGUCUCAACAAGUGACGUGGGACGACAUAUGAUGGCGCCACGGCUGCUGGAAUAAGAAAGGGCCAGCUGCUGUGUCUCAUGCAAUGAUUGUGCAGGUACUACCUGGUCGACGCGGUGGCAUUCAAGAAGCUGAAACCUCUCACAAUCGCUUCGCUCAGUCUCACCGUAUUCAGGAGAAAAUGGAAUCUUACAAAUUUUUUUUCUUUUCAGAAGUAGCAAUGACGGUUUUACUGUCCAGGUCCAGAGAACCGCAGCCAUAUGCAAGAAAUUCCCUUCCAGCUGACUCCCUGCUUUCCAGCUUCACCCAAGGAGUUAGUCUAAAGAAAUUGCUAGUCUCUUCCAAGAUUACCGAAUGACUCGAGGCGGCUAGUUAUAUGGAACAAAAUCGAACGUCAUCUGGCUAGUUAUAUACAACAAAAUUGAACACCAUGUUGCUUUUUAUGGUCUGCUUGUUUUGAUGAGCAGGCAACCGCAAUGAAACGAAAUGUUGUGAUAUUUGAGAAGCAGCAGCAGAUGUAUAGACAUAUCUUUCGUACAA